AGAGAAACUCGCGGAUUCUUCCACUGACCGCCGCGGCACACCUGCACCAGGACACUGUGAUGACUGCCAGUAUUCACAGGUACUGCCUGGGAUAGAGAGGGGAACCUUUGGAUGUGUGUGGGUAGGAUGCACCAACAGGAGCUCCUUUUACUUGAGAGGACACCCACAGGCUCCAGUGGGAGAUGUUCUGACUGUGAGAUGCCUACAAAGCUGGAGGUGACUGUCAUUCGUGUGACUCACUUCGUCCCCGUCUCCGCCUCACCCGGGUGACCCAGAGCCCCAUCCAAGCCUUCAUCUUAAUCUUCACCACCAGCAGCAUCUAGACUCCAGGGGGUCCUGUCCUAAUUCCUAUAACCUCUGGUAUCCAGUUCUGCUGUGAUGGGUCAUCUGAGUAUAAUGACCAAAUAACUGAA